AUUACUAUUCUUCUUUUUACCACAGCUCAGUUGAGAUUAGUCCUUCACUUGCUGAGGUCCAAAGAGAAACUGUUGGUGAAGUGCGCAGCCAUAUACCAAAGUUCAGGGUAGAAUGUCGUGAUGCUUCUGACCGGAGUGGAUGGGGGAAUGUGGAGCAACAACCGUGUUGGGUAAUAAUGCUUGAGUGGCUGUUAGCUGCUAUUGCUGCACUCUGAACUGCUAUUAGUAAUGGCCAACUACAAGCAAUCAACCAUUUAGGUAUGGCUAGCAGCUGCUUUAAUUCAUACAUGUAUGAUAAUGGCCAAUGUUGGGAACCUACCGAGACCUGAUUAGCCUGUUCUCAUAGUUCAAGGCACCAUUUUACUGUUUUUGGCAUUAAAAAUUUGAGCUGGUAGUUCCCUGUCAGAAGCUAAGAUCUGGCAAUUGGCUAUCUGCCAUUAUCAGUGCAAACGCAUCAUAAAAAAAUUGAGUCAAUUCUGUGUGUUUUGCUAAGAAAUUUGGU